rnacentral:tmRNA from 1 species
GGGGACGUUCUGGAUUCGACAGGGAUAGGUCGAGCUUAGGUUGCAUGUCGAGGUUACGUCUCGUAAACCGUUAUCGCCUAAAUUUAACUGGCAAAGAAAACAAUAAUUUCGCUUUAGCAGCGUAAGCUAGCUAAAGGAUCCUUCCUACUAUCGCCCGUGUAGUGGAUGAAGGGUCUCAAAUGAAGCGGGCUAUACUAUGAUCCACCGUCUGAGGAUGAUAGUUGAAACCAAUCAGACUAGCUACUUAUGAAGCCUGUUGAUAGGCUGACGAGUUAGCGAAAAUGAAAUAUAUCAACUAAACAUGUAGAUAUUUAAGUGACGAUAUCCUUGGACGUGGGUUCGACUCCCACCGUCUCCACCA